rnacentral:lncRNA from 1 species
GCUAUCCCUUUAAGUAAUUUAGAUUUAGAAUUCUAAACUCUGUUUCUCUGGUUCUUUGAAUGUAUAUCAGGUUCAUAGCCUGUUGGAAACUUCACAGUGAGCCUCAUACUAAUGGGAAAAUGUCUCCUUGGCUAGCAGACUUUUCAUUCAGAAAACUGUAAAGAUCCUGGUGGAGAAAGGACAAUGUGUAUGUUUUUAUCAAGAUCCCUUCUUGUAGAUGGUGCUGCUCCCUUUGCAAC